UCGUAACACGAACCGGUGCUAAAGGAUCUUGCCCAACGGCUACUGACAGCUGUUGUUGGGGCAGGGACCCUUUAGCACCGGUUCGUGUUACAAACCGGUGGUAAAGGGUU
rnacentral:pre_miRNA from 1 species